GACGAACGCUGGCGGCGUGCUUAACACAUGCAAGUCGAACGGAAAGGCCCUGCUUUUGUGGGUUGCUCGAGUGGCGAACGGGGGAGUAACACGUGAGUAACCUGCCCUUGACUUUGGGAUAACUUCAGGAAACUGGGGCGAAUACCGGAUAGGAGCUCUUGCUGCAUGGUGGGGGAUGGCAAGUGUCGGCGGUUGGGGAUGGACUCGCGGCUUAUGUGCUUCUUGGUGGGGUAGGGGCUUACCAAGGCUUUGAUGGAUAGCCGGCCCGAGAGGGUGAACGGCCUCAGUGGGACUGAGAUAGGGCCCAGACUCGUACGGGAGGCAGUAGUGGGGAAUAUUGCAAAGUGGGCGGAAGCCAGAGGUAGCGACGCCGCGAGCGGGAUUACGGGCUUCGGGUUGUGAACCGAUUUCGCCUGUGACGAAGAGUCAUUGACGGUAAUGGAUAAAAAAGCCACGGCUAACUACGUG
rnacentral:rRNA from 1 species